GAACGCUAGCGGCAGGCCUAACACAUGCAAGUCGAGGGGUAACAGGAGAAAGCUUGCUUUCUUGCUGACGACCGGCGCACGGGUGCGUAACGCGUAUGCAACCUACCUCUUACUGGGGCAUAGCCCAGAGAAAUUUGGAUUAAUUCCCCAUAGUACCACGAAGUCGCAUGGUUUUGUGGUUAAAGGUUACGGUAAGAGAUGGGCAUGCGUCCCAUUAGCUAGUUGGUGAGGUAAUAGCUCACCAAGGCAUCGAUGGGUAGGGGUUCUGAGAGGAUGAUCCCCCACACUGGUACUGAGACACGGACCAGACUCCUACGGGAGGCAGCAGUGAGGAAUAUUGCGCAAUGGACGAAAGUCUGACGCAGCCAUGCCGCGUGCAGGAUGACGGCGCUACGCGUUGUAAACUGCUUUUAUAUACCAAGAAACCUCAGGACGUGUCCUGAGCUGACGGUAGUAUAUGAAUAAGCACCGGCUAACUCCGUGCCAGCAGCCGCGGUAAUACGGAGGGUGCAAGCGUUAUCCGGAUUUAUUGGGUUUAAAGGGUCCGUAGGCGGAUGAUUAAGUCAGUGGUGAAAGCCCACAGCUCAACUGUGGAAUUGCCAUUGAUACUGAUUGUCUUGAGUACGUUUGAUGUUGGCGGAAUAUGUCAUGUAGCGGUGAAAUGCUUAGAU
rnacentral:rRNA from 1 species